rnacentral:misc_RNA from 1 species
UAAUAAUAAUAAUAAUAAUAACUUCACACAAAAACAGAUGAAAAAAUGCAGAAAAAUCAACAUUUCCCAGAACAACAAUCAAAAAACAACAAUAUUCAGGGAUUUUCACGGUGAAAGAAAUGAGAAAGAUUUAAGAAGAAUGUCUAAUCAUAUGAACACAUUUUCUUGUCAUUAUUUGUGAAGUUCAAACCCAAAAAAAAGGGGGAAUUCCAACAUAUUCUUAGCACUAAAUAAUAAAAGAACAAUGCUAGUUCAAUUUCAUAGCAUGCUAUGCUUAAUUUUACUCGGAUGCAUUCCACAAAUUGUUCCAUUACAUUCAUGAUAUAUCCCAAAUUCCAAAUAAGAGAAGGCAAGAGAUUCCUGAGGUGGAAAAUUGAUCACAAUGGCAAGUGAGGAGGAAAAAAUCAUACCUAUGAGGGAUGUACUUCAGGCAGCCCCAAACCAGCUGGCCUCCCAUGGAAGACCCAAUUACAUAAAAUUUUAAUCCCAGUCCUAAAUGAUCAGCAAGCUCCUCUAUAUCAGAAGCCAAACUCCUCAGAGUUCGCUUUGAAUCUGGAUCACUUUCUCCAUAACCUGGCCGGUCAAAGGACACAAAAUACACACCUAGCUCUUCAAUUACUUCCUGAGGAAGGACUUUUACAAACCCAAAAUUAUCUUUGGUGGUGGAAAAGCCAUGAACAUAUAUGAUCUUGUAAUUGGCAGUUUCUCUUGAUACACCGUGCUCCUUGUAAGCCAAAUGUCUUCCAUCCCUCAGUUUUAUUCUAGGUGCAGUGAUGGGAGGCCCACCUAGGCUACCACAAAGCUUGGGAGGCGGCGGGUAGGCAGCCUGAUACGCCCAUGCCAGCAACCCAAUCAACAGAACUACUGCAAUUUCCCUGAACAUC